rnacentral:rRNA from 1 species
UACGUAGGGUGCAAGCGUUGUUCGGAAUCAUUGGGCGUAAAGGGCGUGUAGGCGGGAAAAUAAGCCAGGGGUGAAAGCCCGGAGCUCAACUCCGGAACGGCUCUUGGAACUGUUUUUCUAGAGGAAGUCAGAGGUCAGCGGAAUUCCUGGUGUAGAGGUGAAAUUCGUAGAUAUCAGGAGGAACACCGGCGGCGAAAGCGGCUGGCUGGGACUUUCCUGACGCUGAGGCGCGAAAGCGUGGGGAUCAAACAGG